AGCGUUGUUCGGAAUUACUGGGCGUAAAGGGCGCGUAGGCGGCCCGCUAAGUCGAACGUGAAAUCCCCGGGCUCAACCCGGGAACUGCGUCCGAUACUGGCAGGCUUGAAUUCGGGAGAGGGAUGUGGAAUUCCAGGUGUAGCGGUGAAAUGCGUAGAUAUCUGGAGGAACACCGGUGGCGAAGGCGGGUCUCUGGGCCGAUACUGACGCUGAGGAGCGAAAGCGUGGGGAGCGAACAGG
rnacentral:rRNA from 1 species